rnacentral:rRNA from 1 species
GAUGAACGCUAGCUACAGGCUUAACACAUGCAAGUCGAGGGGAAACGGCAUUAAGUGCUUGCACUUUUUGGACGUCGACCGGCGCACGGGUGAGUAACGCGUAUCCAACCUUCCCAUGACUAAGGGAUAACCUGCCGAAAGGCAGACUAAUACCUUAUGGUCUUCACUGACGGCAUCAGAUGUGAAGUAAAGAUUUAUCGGUUAUGGAUGGGGAUGCGUCUGAUUAGCUUGUUGGCGGGGUAACGGCCCACCAAGGCAACGAUCAGUAGGGGUUCUGAGAGGAAGGUCCCCCACAUUGGAACUGAGACACGGUCCAAACUCCUACGGGAGGCAGCAGUGAGGAAUAUUGGUCAAUGGGCGAGAGCCUGAACCAGCCAAGGAGCGUGCAGGAUGACGGCCCUAUGGGUUGUAAACUGCUUUUGUAUGGGGAUAAAGUCAAUCACGUGUGAUUGUUUGCAGGUACCAUACGAAUAAGGACCGGCUAAUUCCGU